AUUGAACGCUGGCGGCAUGCUUUACACAUGCAAGUCGAACGGCAGCGCGGGCUUCGGCCUGGCGGCGAGUGGCGAACGGGUGAGUAAUGCAUCGGAACGUGCCCAGUAGUGGGGGAUAGCCCGGCGAAAGCCGGAUUAAUACCGCAUACGCCCUGAGGGUCAAAGCGGGGGACCGAAAGGCCUCGCGCUAUUGGAGCGGCCGAUGUCGGAUUAGCUAGUUGGUGGGGUAAAGGCUUACCAAGGCGACGAUCCGUAGCUGGUCUGAGAGGACGACCAGCCACACUGGGACUGAGACACGGCCCAGACUCCUACGGGAGGCAGCAGUGGGGAAUUUUGGACAAUGGGGGCAACCCUGAUCCAGCCAUGCCGCGUGCGGGAAGAAGGCCUUCGGGUUGUAAACCGCUUUUGUUCGGGAAGAAAUCCUCUGGGCUAAUACCCCGGGGGGAUGACGGUACCGGAAGAAUAAGCACCGGCUAACUACGUG
rnacentral:rRNA from 1 species